CCUACGGGAGGCAGCAGUGAGGAAUAUUGGUCAAUGGACGAGAGUCUGAACCAGCCAAGUAGCGUGAAGGAUGACUGCCCUAUGGGUUGUAAACUUCUUUUAUAUGGGAAUAAAAUGUUCCACGUGUGGGAUUUUGUAUGUACCAUAUGAAUAAGGAUCGGCUAACUCCGUGCCAGCAGCCGCGGUAAUACGGAGGAUCCGAGCGUUAUCCGGAUUUAUUGGGUUUAAAGGGAGCGUAGGUGGUUUGUUAAGUCAGUUGUGAAAGUUUGCGGCUCAACCGUAAAAUUGCAGUUGACACUGGCAGUCUUGAGUACAGUAGAGGUGGGCGGAAUUCGUGGUGUAGCGGUGAAAUGCUUAGAUAUCACGAAGAACUCCGAUUGCGAAGGCAGUUCACUGGACUGCAACUGACACUGAGGCUCGAAAGUGUGGGUAUCAAACAGGAUUAGAUACCCCUGUAGUC
rnacentral:rRNA from 1 species